rnacentral:lncRNA from 1 species
AUUGAUGACAAGACGUAGGAAAUAAAGCUUAGAUGAUUCGGACAUAUUUAUAGGAGAAAUCCAAAUGCUCCAAUAAAGAGGUGAGAACGGUUAGUUGUGGAGGGCAUGAGAAGAGGUAGAGGGCGACAAAAAAAGUAUUGGGGGAGGUAAUUAAGCAGGAUAUGGCGAGGUUGCAAAUUUCCGAGAAAAUAACAUUCGAUAGGAACAUGUGGAGGUCGAGUAUUAGGUUUGUAGGUUAGGAGGUAGUCGAGUCUUGUCUUAUACCAUACCUUUAUGAGACUAGUUUGGUAAUGAUACUAUUUUGCUUCUGCUGUGCGUUGUAUCUUUCUUCUUGAUUUCAUAUCGUUCCUAUUUGUCAUAUUUG